ACCAGCAGCUAUAUCACCCUGUAACUCACAACUGACAACCCACUGAAGCAGGUGUGAACCUGGCCAGUACCUGGAUUGGAGUCCUCCUAGGAAAGUCAAGGUUGCUGCUGGAA
rnacentral:rRNA from 1 species